UGAGGAAUAUUGGUCAAUGGGCGCGAGCCUGAACCAGCCAAGUCGCGUGAGGGAUGACCGGCCCUACGGGUUGUAAACCUCUUUUGUCGGGGAGCAAAUUCCGCCACGUGUGGCGGAGUCGAGAGUACCCGAAGAAAAAGCAUCGGCUAACUCCGUGCC
rnacentral:rRNA from 1 species